rnacentral:rRNA from 1 species
UACGAAGGGGGCGAGCGUUGUUCGGAUUUACUGGGCGUAAAGGGCGCGUAGGCGGCGCGAGAAGUCGAGUGUGAAAGCCCCGGGCUCAACCUGGGAAUUGCGCUCGAUACUCUUGUGCUUGAGUUCGGGAGAGGAGCGUGGAAUUCCCAGUGUAGAGGUGAAAUUCGUGAGAUAUUGGGAAGAACACCGGUGGCGAAGGCGGCGCUCUGGACCGAGACUGACGCUGAGGCGCGAAAGCGUGGGGAGCAAACAGG